rnacentral:rRNA from 1 species
AUUGAACGCUGGCGGCGUGCUUUACACAUGCAAGUCGGACGAGUGGCGAACGGGUGAGUAACGCAUCGGCACGUACCUAGUAAUGGGGGAUAACUGUCCGAAAGGACAGAUAAUGCCGCAUAUUAUUCGAGCGGCCGAUGUCUGAUUAGCUGGUGGGGGGGGUAAAGGCACACCAAGGCGACGAUCAGUAGCGGGCCUGAGAGGGUGAUCGGCCACACUGGGACUGAGACACGGCCCAGACUCCUACGGGAGGCAGCAGUGGGGAAUCUUGGACAAUGGGCGCAAGCCUGAUCGAGCCAUGCCGCGUGUCUGAAGAAGGCCUUCGGGUUGUAAAGGACUUUUGUCAGGGAAGCGGUACCUGAAGAAUAAGCAACGGCUAACUACGUGCCAGCCGCCGCGGUAAUUC